rnacentral:rRNA from 1 species
GCAUAUCAAUAAGCGGAGGAAAAGAAACCCAACCGGGAUUGCCUCAGUAACGGCGAGUGAAGCGGCAAAAGCUCAAAUUUGAAAUCUGGCUCCUUCGGGGUCCGAGUUGUAAUUUGCAGAGGAUGCUUCGGUUGCGGCCCCCAUCUAAGUACCCUGGAACGGGUCGUCAUAGAGGGUGAGAAUCCCGUAUGGGAUGGGGUGUCCGCGUCCGUGUGAAGCUCCUUCGACGAGUCGAGUUGUUUGGGAAUGCAGCUCUAAAUGGGUGGUAAAUUUCAUCUAAAGCUAAAUACUGGCCGGAGACCGAUAGCGCACAAGUAGAGUGAUCGAAAGAUGAAAAGCACUUUGAAAAGAGAGUUAAACAGCACGUGAAAUUGUUGAAAGGGAAGCGCUUGCGAUCAGACUCGCCUACGGGGUUCAGCCGGCUUUCGGGCCGGUGUACUUCCCCGUGGGCGGGCCAGCGUCGGUUUGGGCGGCCGGUCAAAGGCCCCUGGAAUGUAGCGCCUCUCGGGGCGCCUUAUAGCCAGGGGUGCAAUGCGGCCUGCCUGGACCGAGGAACGCGCUUCGGCACGGACGCUGGCAUAAUGGUCGUAAGCGACCCGUCUUGAAACACGGACCAAGGAGUCUAACAUCUACGCGAGUGUUCGGGUGUCAAACCCGUGCGCGGAGUGAAAGCGAACGGAGGUGGGAGCCCCCUCGCGGGGCGCACCAUCGACCGAUCCUGAUGUCUUCGGAUGGAUUUGAGUAAGAGCGUAAAUGUGGGGACCCGAAAGAUGGUGAACUAUGCCUGAAUAGGGCGAAGCCAGAGGAAACUCUGGUGGAGGCUCGCAGCGGUUCUGACGUGCAAAUCGAUCGUCGAAUUUGGGUAUAGGGCGAAGACUAAUCGAACCAUCUGGUAGC